UGAGGAAGGUUCGUCCGCUCAGGGUAAGCCGGGGGCUAAGGCGAGGCGGAGACGCGUAGCCGAUGCACAUACGGUUGAAAUUCCGUAGCCACCGAAAGAUUUAAAUACAGGGACGCUUUAGAAGUGAUGUUGCCGGGCGAUGGUUGACCCGGUCGUAAGGGAUCGAAAAUGAGUAGAGAAGUCAUCAUGGAAAGAGACAAGAAAAGCUGUAUGAAUAUCUUAGGUGCCCGUACCGCAAACCGACACAGGUAGAUAGGAAGAAGAUUCUAAGGCCAACGGGAGAAGGGUUGUUAAGGAACUCGGCAAGUUGACCCCGUAACUUAGGGAUAAGGGGUGCUCAAGUGAUUGAGCCGCAGAGAAUAGGCCCAGGCGACUGUUUAGCAAAAACACAGGUCUCUGCUAAAUCGAAAGAUGACGUAUAGGGGCUGACACCUGCCCGGUGCCGGAAGGUUAAGAGGAGAUGUGAGAGCAUUGAAUUGAAGCCCCGGUAAACGGCGGCCGUAACUAUAACGGUCCUAAGGUAGCGAAAUUCCUUGUCAGGUAAGUUCUGACCCGCACGAAAGGUGUAACGAUCUGGGCACUGUCUCAACAACCCGCCCGGCGAAAUUGUAGUACCGGUGAAGAUGCCGGUUACCCGCGACUAGACGGAAAGACCCCAUGGAGCUUUACUGUAGCCUAAUAUUGGAUUUCGGUAUUUCACGUACAGGAUAGGUGGGAGACUGGGAAGCACAGGCGUCAGCUUGUGUGGAGUCGACCUUGGGAUACCACUCUUGGAGUGCUGGAAUUCUAACCUGCGGCUUUGAAGCAAGUCGGGGGACAUUGUUAGGUGGGCAGUUUGACUGGGGCGGUCGCCUCCUAAAGAGUAACGGAGGCGCUCAAAGGUUCGCUCUGCAUGGAUGGAAACCAUGCGUCAGAGUGUAAACGCAAAAGCGAGCCUAACUGCGAGAAUGACGGUUCGAGCAGUAACGAAAGUUGGAGUUAGUGAUCCGGCGGUAUGUGAAUGGAAAUGCCGUCGCUCAACGGAUAAAAGCUACCCUGGGGAUAACAGGCUGAUCUCCCCCAAGAGUCCACAUCGACGGGGAGGUUUGGCACCUCGAUGUCGGCUCAU
rnacentral:rRNA from 1 species